rnacentral:rRNA from 1 species
UACGGAGGGUGCAAGCGUUGCUCGGAAUUAUUGGGCGUAAAGGGUAGGUAGGUGGUCUCAUUUGUCUGGGGUGAAAGCCUUGAGCUUAACUCAAGAAGUGCCCCAGAAACGGUGAGACUAGAGUCCUGGAGAGGGUCGUGGAAUUCCCGGUGUAGCGGUGAAAUGCGUAGAGAUCGGGAGGAACACCCGUGGCGAAGGCGGCCAGCUGGGCCGGACCUGACGCUGAGGCGCGAAGGCGUGGGGAGCGAACGGG